GAUGAACGCUGGCGGCGUGCCUAAUACAUGCAAGUCGAGCGAACAGACGAGGAGCUUGCUCCUCUGACGUGAGCGGCGGACGGGUGAGUAACACGUGGAUAACCUACCUAUCAGACUGGGAUAACUUCGGGAAACCGGAGCUAAUACCGGAUAAUAUAUUGCACCGCAUGGUUCAAUAGUGAAAGACGGUUUUGCUGUCACUUAUAGAUGGAUCCGCGCCGCAUUAGCUAGUUGGUAAGGUAACGGCUUACCAAGGCAACGAUGCGUAGCCGACCUGAGAGGGUGAUCGGCCACACUGGAACUGAGACACGGUCCAGACUCCUACGGGAGGCAGCAGUAGGGAAUCUUCCGCAAUGGGCGAAAGCCUGACGGAGCAACGCCGCGUGAGUGAUGAAGGUCUUCGGAUCGUAAAACUCUGUUAUUAGGGAAGAACAAAUGUGUAAGUAACUAUGCACGUCUUGACGGUACCUAAUCAGAAAGCCACGGCUAACUACGUG
rnacentral:rRNA from 1 species